AGCCACUCCCUAAUACCACGGGGAAGAUUCAGGCAUGAGGAAGACAGUGAUGGUGAGAGGAGACACAGGUAACUCUGCCUGCUGGUACCGCACACUUCUCAGCCCCUGGAUGCAGUUGAAGCUGAACUCAGAGGCAGCGCUGACCGAUUGGACUUCACACUCCAGGAAGGAGAUGUCGGCCCCUGAGCCUAGCGAGGGCAAGCACAGGAAGUCUUCCCUGAUCUUCCCUUGCUCCCGUCACAAAGCAGAUACCUUGUGCUGCCUGGCAGGACUGCAGUCUCAUCCCACUCCUCCCCGCAGAUUCUCAUCUGAGUGCGGGACCAAGGUCCUAUCCACAUUCACACUGCCAGCGUCUGUACCCUUUUGGCUUCUGGAGAAUGCUACUCCAUGUGCAUGUGGGAGAUGACAGAGGGCAUAUCUAGAUGCAUGAUGUUCUAGGACCUUCUCCAAGGCCUCAGCAUCCCUAUUCCUCCUGACACCGUUUCACUAAGUGUCGUAUCAGCC